rnacentral:rRNA from 1 species
UGAGGAAUUUUCGGCAAUGGGGGCAACCCUGACCGAGCAACGCCGCGUGCAGGACGAAGGUUUUCGGAUCGUAAACUGCUUUUCUUGGGGACGAGAGCGGACGGUACCCAAGGAAUCAGCCCCGGCUAACUACGUGCCAGCAGCCGCGGUAAUACGUAGGGGGCGAGCGUUAUCCGGAGUUACUGGGCGUAAAGGGCACGCAGGCGGUCGUGUAAGUUUGGGGCUACAGCUCCCGGCUCAACUGGGAGAGCGCCUUGAAGACUGCAGGACUUGAGGGCCACAGAGGGACACAGAAUUCCGGGUGGAGUGGUGAAAUGCGUAGAUAUCCGGAGGAAUACCAAAGGCGAAGGCAGUGUCCUGGGUGGCACCUGACGCUCAGGUGCGAAAGCUAGGGGAGCGAAC